rnacentral:rRNA from 1 species
UACGUAGGGUGCGAGCGUUGUCCGGAAUUAUUGGGCGUAAAGAGCUCGUAGGCGGUUUGUCGCGUCGACUGUGAAAACCUGGGGCUUAACUCUGGGCCUGCAGUCGAUACGGGCAGACUUGAGUUCGGUAGGGGAGACUGGAAUUCCUGGUGUAGCGGUGAAAUGCGCAGAUAUCGGGAGGAACACCAAUGGCGAAGGCAGCUCGCUGGGACGGUACUGACGCUGAGACGCGAAAGCGUGGGGAGCAAACAGG